CUUAGGUAAGAGAAAAUUUUACGAGUGGUCCAGAGCACUCGUACCAAGGAGAUUAAUAUGGUCAAGAAAGUCAACAUGUCUUCGUAGGAGACAGCAGGAUCCUGACUCCUUUUAGUGCCACCCAGCCACUCCUUAAACACAGAACCACAGGCCUCCAUUCCAGCCGUGAACAUUCCCUUAGAUGGUGGUCUGUGAAACUCAAACAUCCCCAUUGUGGACACACAGAUUUUUAGGUUUUAUAUGGUGUUUAGAGGUAGUUAUGAGCAAAGUAUAUACUGUAAGUGUAACUUUUUUUUUUACUGUGCUUUCCAUAUUUUUAUUUUCAUUUAUAUGAAGAGAUACUCCAAUAAUGCUUACUUGAUAUCUGACUGUCAUGGUGAUAUGCAUUAUGCUCUGUUAGAUAGGGUUUAUUUAACACAGAGUUACUGCUUGCUUCUUUGUCCUCUCAUCAACCUGGACUAACACAAACAGGGAGUGACAUAACUCAUUUCAUCAUGUGGAUUAACUGGUCUUUCGAGGGUUUGGUGAAAGGUAGUGUAUGGAUACCUUGAUGAGUGUGUGCUAGUUAUGCAACUCUUUUUGCGUCACCAGUCAUUUAAUGUUGAGGAAAUAGAUUUCAAGAGGGAAACUCAUCUGCAAAUUCAGCAUUAACAACAGUUUCUGCUGAAAAAACAUGGCUGUUUACUUUCAAGGGGUACAUGCAAGUCAACUUUACUGCUGAAGUCUUUGUGUAAGGUGCCACAGAACUCCAGUAUAGAUGGUUUGCCAGAUAGCCACAAAAAUUGUUGUGCUCAAAUUGUAUUUUUUUUUUUUUUUAAUCAUACUUUAUUUUAUUUUCAGAAUUGUAACUCAACAAUGCAACCAUACAUCAUCCGACAUUGGUCUGAGCUAGGAGAGAAGACUUAAAUAAAGUAGAAAGAGAACGAAAGAAAAAUUGGAUUUAAUCCCAUCAUGAGUUACAACAUGUAAAAAAAGUGCAUCUAAUACCUUUAGAAUGUAGCUUUUUAUCAUAUGGGUGAACUAUAACAGAACAAUCUCUUUUUUUACAAUUGUUAAUUUGUAAAAUGUUUGUAUUAUGUAACUCAUCAUUUUGCAGCUUCACUUGUACAGUAAAGUGACAUUCAGUGGAUUGUUUUGCUUCCUUACUAAAGCAGUGUUUUGAAUUUGAAGGAAAAAAAAUCAAUUUGCAUGUUUCUCCUUUUAUAUACUGCAGAUCUCCUUGUACUUGAAAACCAAGCUAAUGUUUAUGAGGGAUCUUGAAUUGAAAUUUGAUACCUUUUAACACCUUUUAAAUGAACCUCUCCAUACACUUUAAGACCUCAUUGGUACUUUGAGUUUUUGCUGGUUACGUCAGUAACACGUUUGAGCUUAAAUUUACUAUACAACAGGCCUCAUGCAAGAAACUUCAUACAAAUAAAUUUUCUCUCAUUUUUGCUUGUAUCCAA